GAUGAACGCUGGCGGCGUGCUUAACACAUGCAAGUCGAACGAUGAAGCUCAGCUUGCUGGGUGGAUUAGUGGCGAACGGGUGAGUAACACGUGAGUAACCUGCCCUUAACUCUGGGAUAAGCCUGGGAAACUGGGUCUAAUACCGGAUAGGAGCGUCCACCGCAUGGUGGGUGUUGGAAAGAUUUAUCGGUUUUGGAUGGACUCGCGGCCUAUCAGCUUGUUGGGGAGGUAAUGGCUCACCAAGGCGACGACGGGUAGCCGGCCUGAGAGGGUGACCGGCCACACUGGGACUGAGACACGGCCCAGACUCCUACGGGAGGCAGCAGUGGGGAAUAUUGCACAAUGGGCGCAAGCCUGAUGCAGCGACGCCGCGUGAGGGAUGACGGCCUUCGGGUUGUAAACCUCUUUCAGUAGGGAAGAAGCGAAAGUGACGUUACCUGCAGAAGAAGCACCGGCUAACUACGUG
rnacentral:rRNA from 1 species